rnacentral:lncRNA from 1 species
GGACUAACUAUAAUAGUGAGCAAAACAGACCUCCACCGCUAACAACGACGGGCAACACAGCCGGAAUCACGCUAUUUUGCACAGCAGCACCAUUUUUGACAGCUGCGGCAGCACCAUUCAAAGUUAUACAUAAUCUUCACAAACAUAAUGCUACUAAAUCAUUAGACUAAAAGUAAUUACAAAGUUAUGCUAAUCUGGGACUAACUAUAAUAGUGAGCAACACAGAUCUCCACCGCCAACAACUACGGGCAACACUGCCGGAAUCACGCCAUUUUGCACAGCAGCACCAUUUUCGACAGCUGCGACAGCACCAUUCAAAGUUAUACAUAAUCUUCACAAACANNNNNNNNNNNNNNNNNNNNUAAAAGUAAUUACAAAGUUAUACUAAUCUGGGACUAACUAUAAUAGUGAGCAAAACAGACCUCCACCGCCAACAACGACGGGCAACACAGCCGGAAUCACGCCAUUUUGCACAGCAGCACAUUUUUCGACAGCUGCAGCAGCACCAUCCAAAAUCAUUUUUAACAAUACCAUUUAUUGUUGGGUCUUUGGGUAUUAAACAAUCAAAAUAAAGGGGUCUUUGGGUAUUAAACAAUCAAAAUAAAAUAAUGAGAAUUUUUUUCGGUUAGGUUGAGGGAAAAUGAAAUCCGGAAGAAAGAAGAAAGCAAGAACUUGGAUAAUAUAAGAAUGAGGAUUAUGAGAACUUUGGGAGAGGAAGAGAAACGGCGGCGGACUAGGAACUGUUGUUGUAUAGAGAUAGUUUAAAUAAAUAGUUACUUUACUCUUUUAAUAUGAUCUCUUAGAUUGUUUGUUGCCACAUGUUAUCCAUCCAAUGGUUGGACUGGACUAAAUGGAGGUAGGCUUAAAUAGAGCAUAGUAGUACAUGAACUAACUCCAUCAAUAAAGGUGUUGGGUCGGAACAAUGGAAGGGUAAAUAUGGAACAAAGUAAAAAAAAUUACUCUCAGAUGUCAUUUUAUUCUAACUUCCUAUAUGCCAACAAAAUUUAACCAGCAGUACAGAAGAAACGGAUAAUGGUAAAUAUUUUUAUCCUAUAGUAAGUAUCUCUCUCAUAAGCGUAAUUUUAUUUUUAAAAUGACAAAAGUAGUCAUCAAUAAAGGUGUUGGGCCCACAUAAUUUUAGAGGAACAAUGCAUCCUAUUCCUAUCUCUCGUUCCAAAAUCACUCGGUCGGUGCCUCAAUGUGAGUGACUUCAAGUCACACAUAAAAAUCUCUUGCGAUUGGGCCCAAAAUUGGGCUUAGAAAAUAAAUCUGCUAUUUACACCAUAUAUAUGACAUAAAAACCUACCUACCAUGAGAAGAAGAAAAAGGCCCGCUAAAUAAAACUGGGCCGCCACGAAAAAUAUGUACCAUAAAAAAAUAGUUAUGGAUGGAUCUAAACAAAAAAUUCUGAAACUUAUUUGUAAAAUCAUAGAUUUACCUGAAAAUUCUUCUCUCUCAUAGAAUUUAGUUACCUCGAAGAAAUUCUUCUUAUUCCCCGGAGAAAGCUCUUUCUUAUCAAGAUUGAUGAGAUUCAAUCACAGAAACAGCAUCUUGCCAUCUGAUUCUUUACCCAAGUUUGGG